UACGUAGGGUGCGAGCGUUGUCCGGAAUUAUUGGGCGUAAAGAGCUCGUAGGCGGUUCGUCGCGUCGAAUGUGAAAACCCGGGGCUCAACUCCGGGCCUGCAUUCGAUACGGGCGGACUAGAGUUCGGUAGGGGAGACUGGAAUUCCUGGUGUAGCGGUGAAAUGCGCAGAUAUCAGGAGGAACACCGGUGGCGAAGGCGGGUCUCUGGGCCGAUACUGACGCUGAGGAGCGAAAGCGCGGGGAGCGAACAGG
rnacentral:rRNA from 1 species